CCUUUAGGAACACACUAAAUUUACCCAGCAUAAAAUUCCCCUUUUGUCUGUGUUACUUUCCUUCGUAUGGACAUAGAUCUUACCUGCCUCUCCCUUUCUGACUUUUUUUUUUCUGGUUCCAGUCAAUAACUAAGCAGAGAAACGUGCAGAAAUCCACAACUGCAAGUCCUGCAAGACAAUGACUGGCGACUGCACACAUGUGCUAUGAUGUCACUGCACCAAGGAAAAAGACUUUUUAUCUCUGGCAAAAGGUUCAAGCAGUAUUGCAGUUUAUAUACUGUGAUGUGAUUGGAUGAACAUGAUCGUCAGGCAGCGUUGGACUGAAGGGUCUGAAGCCCACCCAGGCUUCUGAUAAAGGGGCCCCGCUGCAACCUCCCUCCAUGCCCAGCUCUUCAGUCGCAAACGCCCUCUGCAGCCCCCCCGCUUGUACCUAUUCUCUCUAUCGGGGCCAGAGGAGGGCAAGAUCAGAGGGGAGUGUGGGCCAUGCAGGCAGCAGAAGGGUGUGGGUCCUGGUCAGUGCCCCCCCGGGUUUACCUGGUGUCCUGCUGGCCCAGUCCGACCCUGAUACCAUUUACACCUUGAAAAAGACGUCCGUUUGGAGGAUAGUUUCUCUAAAAUGACCUCCAGGGAUCAACUUCACCAAUGAAAUUCCCAUCUGAUCAGUUGUUUUGAAGAGUUUGAGGCACGCGGGAGCAAGCACGCAACAUUGCUGUGAAUAUGGUUUGGCCUUAAUUAGCCGAGGAAAGAUAACACAGAACAUUGUGAUCUAGCAGGGACUUCUGGUGUUGACAGCAAUUAAUAUGAAAAACAAGUCAGCAGAAUCCGGGACUAUUUAAACCCAUGUCUCAUUCGGUUUAUGUAUUAAAAUCUCUUUAAUGUAAGAGACCAUUCUCCUUUCAUUAAUACAUUAAUACAUUGAUUAUCGACA